rnacentral:lncRNA from 1 species
AUGCUUAGUCAGGAUUCCGAUUUCCUGUCGAAGUGUUUGGAUUUCCUGAAACCCGCGCCCUCCGCCGCCGAGCGGGAUUGUGCGAGCCGCUCGCGUCGCCGCGGCCUCCUCCCCCUCGGCACAUGGUCGCCCGCCCCUUCCUGCGCCGCGCUCGGCUCCCGCGCCUCGCCUGGCCUGGCCGCCGCCGCGGGCGAGCACUCUGCGCUGGGCAGCCCCGGGCCCGCGCCUCCCGCCCCGCCGGCGCUUCCCGGUCGCAGUUCGCUUUCCCACCCGAGAGCCGCGAGCGCCUGGCCGAGCCCGCGAUGGAAUAAUGCCCAGCGGCCCGCCAGGUCCCGGUUGUGUUGGCCUCCUUGUGCACUGCAUUGAGAGGAUAUUCAGACUGAAGGGGAGAAGCACUGAUUUUGAAGGAUGAAAAAGGAACAAUGUGAGUUAUUCCAUGUCUUAGAGAUAGUGUGGUAUGACAGAGAGAGUGUAAACUCUGGUAUCACAUAGUCCUGGGUUGGAGUCCUUCGUGGAAUCUGGCUCUGUCCCUUGCUUGGUGACCUUUGGCACCUUCUUUCCUCUGAACCUCAGUUUCCUCUCCUUUCCACUUGCACUGUCAAUACCCCCUGUAGAGUAUGGUGGAGACUCAAUUGGGAUCUUAUAGGCCAAGUAUGUGGCACCUGAGAGGCCCUGAAUAAAUGUCGGUUGUUCUACACUGAACCCUGUCCACAUGUGGGAUUCUUGGCAAGGGCUUAUUGGUGCUUGUGAAACCUAAUUAAUCAGAGGUGGGAAGAGAGAGCUGGCCUCUGGAAGGGCUUGCUUUUCAUAGGAGUAAACACAUUGUCAGUAACAAGAGGAGUCCCUGAGUCCCGGGGAGGAAGGGGCGAGACAUGGUGGCUCCUGGGAGGUCAUGAUAACUCUUACUGACAGGUAUAACUAUGAAGUCCCCAUUGCUCUCCAGUUCUUUAAAAUAUCAAGAAAAGCAGGUAAAAGCUCCUCAGCUCUGGAUGUCUUAAAAAUAGCCACUGAACGGAGUGGCCAAGCCAUUUUCCCCAUGACCUGCCACAUGAAGUCCCCCUUCCCCACCCACUCCUGCUCUGCCGUCUCUGCCCAGUAAUGACUCCUCAUGCAUCCUCAUCCCAGACACUCAGCUGGGAACCUUGAUAUUUAUUCCACGCAUAUUUGUUUGCAUUUACAUUGCAUGCCAGUGGUAUUCCAGGGGCUGGAUAAUAGUAGCAAACAUGACAGAAAAAUCCCUAUCCUCAUGGACCUUACAUUCCAGUGGGGCAACAGGUAGCAAACAAACAUGAAAUGGAUGGUGUAUGAGAUGACAAAUAGUCCUUGUGGAAGAAAAAUCAUCUGGAGAGGAGGCUGGGGCGUGCUGGGGAGGGUGUGCAUUGUUAAAUGGGGUGUUCAGAGGAGCUCUCCCUGAGAACAUGACACUAAUCAAAGACCCAAAGGAGCUGAGGGAGUGAGUACAUGGCAGUUUGGGGAGAAAUGAUUCCUAAGCACAGGGCCUGCCCUGUGCAGAGACCCUGAUAGCUGCAUGCAUGGCACAUUAAAGGAACCUCAAGGAGGCCAGUGUGGCUGGAGUGGAGUGAGUGACAAGAAAGUCGGUGCAGGAAAAGGUUUAUGGGUUGGGGAUGAGGGCUCAACCUUGCUGGGCAUUUUGAGGACUUUAGCUUUUGCCCUGAAUAACAAAAGCAGCUCUCGGAGGGUUGUGAGCGGAAGAAUGAUAUGGGCUUGGCUUACCUUUUUUUCCUAACCAGUGUAUUAGUUUAUGCUUGCACUGCUAUAAAGAACUACUUGAGACUGGAGAAUUGAUGAAGAAAAGAGUUUUAAUCAGCACACGGUUCUGCAGGCUGUACAGGCUUCUGCUUCUGGGGAGGCCUCAGGAAACUUUCAGUCAUGGUGGAAGGCGAAGGGGGAAGCAGGUGCCUCUUACAUGGUGGAGUGGGAGAAAGAGAGAGAGAGGAGGGAGGUGCCACACACUUUUCAACAAGCAGAUCUUGGGAGAGCUCUAUCACGAGACAGCACUAGAGGGAUGGUGCUAAACCAUUAGAAACACCUUCAUGAUUCAAUCACCUCCUACCAGGCCCCUCCUCCAACACUAGGGAUUAUAAUUCUACCUGAGAUUUGGGUGAGGACACAGAUCCAAACCAUAUCAAGCAGUAUCUGCUGUCUGCAAAUGCUUAAUGCUGGUGAGAGUGGAAGCAGUGGCAGUGGUGGGGAUGGUUGAACUCAGAAAUUAUGGAUUUCUUCUCCCUCCCUCAACUCAUCCAAACCAUGGCCAAGCUGAAUCAGUUCUACCUUGGCCAUUGUAGGGAGACUGGGAGGACUUUGGAGAUACUAUACGUCAAGUCUGUCAGUCUGUCAACCCCUUUAGAACAGGAAUGUGUCUUCUUUCUUAAGUGUCCUUAAAACCUAGCCCAGUGCCUGACAUAAGUGGUAGGCAUUUUAAAUGCUUAUGAUGAUUAGCCUGUCAUUAUCUGAUCCCUAAGACUGAAUUUGGAGCCAUCUUCAGUGCUCCCAGGAUCCCCUUGUACUUAACCUUUUCAAAACAUCUGUCAGUCUGAUCUUUCAUUGUCUGUCUGUUCCCUCUGCUGGUCCAUGAGCUUCAUGAGACCCAUGCUGUUUUUUGCUCUUUGUGUUUUUUGAGACAGAGUCUUGCUCUGUCGCCCAGGCUGGAGUUCAGUGGUGAGAUCUCGGCUCACUGCAACCUCUGCCUCACGGGUUCAAAGGAUUCUCAUACCUCAGCCUCCCACGCAGUUGGGACUACAGCUGUGCACCACCAUGCCCGGCUUAUUUUUGUAUUUUUAUUUACUUAUAUAUAUUUUGAGAUGAAGUCUCACUCUGUCACACAGGCUGGAGUGCAGUGGCAUAAUCUCACCUCAUUGUAACCUCUGCCUCCCAGGUUCAAGUGAUCCUCCUGCCUCAGCCUCCAAAGUAGCUGGGAUUACAGGUACCCACUACCAUGCCCAGCUAAUUUUUGUAUUUUUAGUAGAGAUGGGGUUUGGCCAUAUUGGCCAGGUUGGUCUUGAACUCCUGAUCUUGAGUGAUUCGCCCACUUUGGCCUCUCAAAGUGUUGGGAUUACAGAGAAAAGCCAUUGCGCCCGGCCUGACCCACACUGUUUUGUCCACUUUUUUUUUUUUUUUUUUAAAUUGAGACGGAGUCUUGCUCUGUCACCCAGGCUGGAGUGCAGUGGUGAGACCUCGGCUCACUGCAACCUCUGCCUCCUGGGUUCAAGCGAUUCUCCUGCCUCAACCUCCCGAGUAGCUGGGACUACAGGUGCAUGCCACCACGCCCGGCUAAUGUUUUGUAUUUUCAGUAGAGACGGGGUUUCAUCAUGUUAGCCAGGAUGGUCUCGAUCUCCUGACCUCGUGAUCCCCCUGCCUCGACCUCCCAAAGUGCUGGGAUUACAGGAGUGAGCCACUGCGCCCGGCCUGUUUUGUUCACUCUUGUAAGUGCAGUACCUGUCUCUGGGCCUGCUACCUGGUAGCUGCUCAGGAAGCGCUCUUUUAAAUGAAUGAAUGCACCUGGUCCCUUUUAUCACCUGCUGAGAAAGUCACUGGUUCCAGCCAGUAUCUCUUCCAAUCCCAGCAUGUCGCUGGGAAGAUUAAAUUGUUUUAAAAAAAACAAAAAAACAAAAAACCCUGAGCCUACAAGGUAGCCUCUGGGCUUUUUGAAGGGAAGAGCAAAGUCAGAGAGCUGUUACUGUUUGAAUCAGCAGUGCUGAAGGGCUCUUGGGAAGUGGAGUGCUCUCCGAGGCUUGCCUACACGGCAGAGGCAUGUGGAUAAUUGCAUCAGGAAAGUGGGGGGUGCUUGACCGCCAGACCGAUAGGCCGGGGGUGGGCCAGAGUCCUCCUGGGCUGGGAGAUCCCAGACAGUGUUUCCAGAAAUUCCGGUUGACUGAGUUUGCCUGUAUAGAACAGAGAGUGGGCAGCCACAGUCUCAUGUGAAGAUAUUUUGCCACUUUCCCAUUUUCAAGCUCAGCUCACAUUUAUUGAUUUUUUUUCACCCCAAGGCCUUUGACAAUUUCGUUAUCCAUUUUUAAAUUAUAAAUUUUCUAAUAGCUUUAUUGACAUACAAUUCACAUACCAUGCAAAUCACCAUUUAAAUUGCAGAAUUCAGUGGUUUUUAGUAUAUUCACAGAGUUGUGCAACCAUCGCUGCAGUCAAUUUUAGAACAUUUUCAUCACCCCCUCCUCAAAAAAUCUCUGUCCAUACCCAUUAGCAGUCACUUCCCAUUUUCCCAAUUCUCCUCCCCCAGCCCUAGGUAACCUUUAAUCUAUUUUCUGCACAAUUCCUUUUCUUCCCCCCAAAUGUAAACAUAAUAAACACUCAUAACAGAAAAUUCAGAAAGAACAAGAAAAGAUAAAGAGUCAGAUAAUGAUCAUCCAUAAUUAUCCAACCACUGAGAGCUGACCACUUUUGUCUAUCUAUGCUGAUACACUCACAGACACAUAGUUUUUGUGAACAGUGACAUCUUACACAUUCUUUUCAACUUACGCCUUCAUUUAAUAUAUAGGGACUCUCUUUCCAUGUUGAAUAAAUGCAGAUUUACAUGAUCAUUUUGGCUGACCAUGGAUAGAUCAUAAUUUAUUUGACUGGUUCUUUUUUAAUGGACAUUUAGGUUGUUUCUAGUUUUUGAAUGUACAUACUUGUCCAAAUAUUUACUUUUGACAAAUUCCCAGAGGCUGGAAUUUCUGGGACAAAGGGUAGGCACAUUUUCAAGUGUUGUACAUGUUACCAAGUCACCCUCCAGAAAGGUUUACCAAUCUGUACUUCUAUGAGCAAUUUUGCAAGUAUACGUUUCUUACCUGCCUCAGAUAUUAUCGAUUAUGUUAAUUUUUGCAUAACUGAUGGACUAAAGAUAAAUGUUCUUUAUUGCAUUUUUAAAUUUAAUGCUAAAGUUGAACAUAUUUCCCAGCUACUCAGGUGACUGAGGCAGGAGGAUCGCUUGAACCUGGGAGGUGGAGGUUGGAGUGAGCCGAGAUUACGCCACUGCACUCCAGCCAAAAAAAAAAAAAAAGGUAUAAAUAUGGAUUGUAAUAGUUGUUGUAAACUGACUGAAGCUAAUUGGUGCAAUUUAGUUCUAUUACUUGGUACUGUCCUUUUACAUAGACUUGGAUUCUAGACCUGACUUCGCCACCAACUGUGACCUCAGGCUGCUCAACCUCUGAGGGCCUCAAUUUCCUAUUCUGUAAAGUGUUGGAGGUGAAGCCGUUGGAUAUUUGAGGUUGUUUCUGGAUCCAUCUUUAUCCUUUCGUGAUAAGAAUAAUAGAAGGCAGCAGUGGUGAGGAAACUGAGGC